rnacentral:rRNA from 1 species
AUUGAACGCUGGUGGAAUGCUUUACACAUGCAAGUCGAGCGGCAGCACGGGGGCAACCCUGGUGGCGAGCGGCGAACGGGUGAGUAACACAUCGGAACAUGCCCAGUCGUGGGGGAUAACACUUCGAAAGAAGUGCUAAUACCGCAUACGUCCUGAGGGAGAAAGCGGGGGAUCGCAAGACCUCGCGCGAUUGGAGUGGCCGAUGUCAGAUUAGCUAGUUGGUGGGGUAAAGGCCUACCAAGGCAACGAUCUGUAGCUGGUCUGAGAGGAUGAUCAGCCACACUGGGACUGAGACACGGCCCAGACUCCUACGGGAGGCAGCAGUGGGGAAUUUUGGACAAUGGGGGCAACCCUGAUCCAGCCAUUCCGCGUGAGUGAAGAAGGCCUUCGGGUUGUAAAGCUCUUUCGGCAGGAACGAAACGGUGAGCUCUAACAUAGCUUGCUAAUGACGGUACCUGAAAAAGAAGCACCGGCUAACUACGUG